rnacentral:rRNA from 1 species
AGUGGAUGGGGAGCAACAAAAGUUGUGUGUGUGUAAAGGUAGUGCCAAGAAAAGCUGAGUUGAUGUUGAACAAAAGAUUCCGGUACCCGAAACCGACACAGGUGGGUAGGUAGAGUAUACUAAGGGGCGCGAGAUAACUCUCUCUAAGGAACUCGGCAAAAUGACUCCGUAACUUCGGGAGAAGGAGUGCCUUAUUUAUAAGGUUGCAAUAACAAGAUCCAAGCAACUGUUUAUCAAAAACACAGGUCUCCGCUAAGUCGUAAGACGAUGUAUGGGGGCUGACGCCUGCCCAGUGCCAGAAGGUUAAAGAAGUUGGUUAGUGUAUGCGAAGCUGAUGACUGAAGCCCUGGUGAACGGCGGCCGUAACUAUAACGGUCCUAAGGUAGCGAGAUUCCUUGUCGGGUAAGUUCCGACCCGCACGAAAGGCGUAAUGAUUUGGAUACUGUCUCGGAGAGAGGCUCGGUGAAAUAGACUUGUCUGUGAAGAUGCGGACUACCUGCACCAGGACAGAAAGACCCUAUGAAGCUUUACUGUAACUUGAAAUUGGAAUUGGACUUUGCUUGCGCAGUAUAGGUGGGAAGCGUUGAAGAUAUUCUUGCGGGAGUAUUGGAGCUAUCAGUGAGAUACCACUCUUGUAAUGUUAGAUUUCUAACUUUGAACCAUAAUCUGGUCAAAGAACAGUUUCAGGUGGGCAGUUUGACUGGGGCGGUCGCCUCCCAAAUGGUAACGGAGGCGUACAAAGGUUUCCUCUGAACGGAUAGAAAUCGUAUCUAGAGUGUAAAGGCAUAAGGAAGCUUGACUGUGAGACCUACAAGUCGAGCAGGGACGAAAGUCGGUCUUAGUGAUCUGACGGUACUGAGUGGAAAGGCCGUCACUCAACGGAUAAAAGUUACUCUAAGGAUAACAGGCUGAUCUCCCCCAAGAGUUCACAUCGACGGGGAGGUUUGGCACCUCGAUGUCGGCUCAUCGCAUCCUGGGGCGGUAGUACGUCCCAAGGGUUGGGCUGUUCGCCCAUGAAAGCGGUACGCGAGCUGGGUUCAGAACGUCGUGAGACAGUUCGGUCCAUAUCCGGUGUAGGCGUUAGAAUAUUGAGAGGAGCCUUCUUUAGUACGAGAGGACCGAGAAGGACACACCGCUGGUGUACCAGUUAUCGAGCCAACGGUAAACGCUGGGUAGCUAUGUGUGGAGUGGAUAACCGCUGAAAGCAUCUAAGUGGGAAGCCCACCUCAAGAUGAG